GAUGAACGCUGGCGGCAGGCCUAACACAUGCAAGUCGAGCGAGCGGCGGACGGGUGAGUAAUGUCUGGGAAACUGCCUGAUGGAGGGGGAUAACUACUGGAAACGGUAGCUAAUACCGCAUACCAUCAGAUGUGCCCAGAUGGGAUUAGCUAGUAGGUGGGGGAACGGCUCACCUAGGCGAAGAUCCCUAGCUGGUCUGAGAGGAUGACCAGCCACACUGGAACUGAGCCACGGUCCAGACUCCUACGGGCGGCAGCAGUGGGGAAUAUUGCACAAUGGGCGCAAGCCUGAUGCAGCCAUGCCGCGUGUGUGAAGAAGGCCUUCGGGUUGUAAAGCACUUUCAGCGGGGAGGCGUUACCCGCAGAAGAAGCACCGGCUAACUCCGUGCCAGCCGCCGCGGUAAUAC
rnacentral:rRNA from 1 species